CACACACACACACACACACACAUCCCUAGCUUAGGGUCCCUCUAUUUGGCAUGGACUCAUUUUCUGCCAGGAAUGCAUAUCUUCCUUGCAGGCUGAGGCACUAUAUGGACUGUACUAAAAACACUCAACCCACUGAUUCUGGUGAAAUUAUUUUGGAGUGACAGGGAUAGGCAGGGGCUUUCCUGGGCUCAGGACUCUAGCUGGGGAGUGGCAAAAGCCACAGUGCAACUCAACUCAGGAGAAAAUAAAUGCCUGGAAAUUUGAGCCAGCUGUUUUUUUCUUACUCACCAAAGUGCAUUGAGUCAACCCUUAAUCUUUUGUCAAUAUUUGCGGACUGAAAACACGACAAACCACCCCCUGUGCCGCUCAGAGUGUAGACACUGACUGAUGGGACCAGGUACAAAAUCCCCUGGGACAAAACAGAACUUUCAUAACUGGCUGUAGAGUUAUUGUUUUUGCCUUUUGGAAGCUUCCACCUUGUGACGGGAAGAGCACUGUCAGCCCAACACAGAAACUCUGCCGCCUGGAGUCACGUGGAUCCAGAUGCGAAGGGACUCCAACGUCAUGCUAAGGAGUUUGGGCUAAGAAUUUGUACAGCCAUAUUACAGAUUUGGAAAAUGAUGUGAAGAGAAGCUAAGGGAUUUGCCACUGCCACUCAGCUGCCAAGGAUCAGAGGCAGGAUUCUAACAUUACUUCUACUUCUCAACGUCCAUCCUCCAACCAUUGUCCAGUGAUUCAGGCAGAAUUCCCUCCUGCUCAGGAGGUAGCCAUCCUGUGACCCUGGAAGAAACCAGCCCAAGGAAGGUGCUAACCUACAGAAGAAGGACAUGGCCAGGGUAAUCACAUAGACCCGGAGUUGAAGCCCUGACUGCACCACACCCGAAGCCUCCCCACCUUUCAACCUCUCGGUGAUGGUGAACCAAUAAACUCUUUUUAUUGUUCAA
rnacentral:lncRNA from 1 species